rnacentral:rRNA from 1 species
CACGUAGGGGGCGAGCGUUGUCCGGAAUCAUUGGGCGUAAAGAGCUCGUAGGCGGCUCAGUAAGUCGGGUGUGAAACCCUCAGGCUCAACCUGGGGACGCCACUCGAUACUGCUGUGGCUAGAGUCCAGUAGAGGAGUGUGGAAUUCCCGGUGUAGCGGUGAAAUGCGCAGAUAUCGGGAGGAACACCAACGGCGAAGGCAGCACUCUGGGCUGGAACUGACGCUGAGGAGCGAAAGCGUGGGGAGCGAACAGG